CUCUUCAGGGCGGGGCGAAAAUCCCCACCGGCGGUAAAGCCCGCGAGCCUUAAUAAGGCAUGAUUCGGUUAGAUUCCGAAGCCGACAGUAUAGUCUGGAUGAAAGAAGAUU
rnacentral:ncRNA from 1 species